UACGUAGGGUGCGAGCGUUAAUCGGAAUUACUGGGCGUAAAGCGUGCGCAGGCGGUUUUGUAAGCCAGAUGUGAAAGCCCCGGGCUUAACCUGGGAAUGGCAUUUGGGACUGCAAGGCUUGAGUGCGGCAGAGGAGACUGGAAUUCCUGGUGUAGCAGUGAAAUGCGUAGAUAUCAGGAGGAAUACCGAUGGCGAAGGCAGGUCUCUGGGCUGACACUGACGCUCAUGCACGAAAGCGUGGGGAGCAAACAG
rnacentral:rRNA from 1 species